ACGAACGCUGGCGGCGCGCUUCACCCAUGCAAGUCGCGCGAUGAAACUUUAACAGAACCCUUCGGGGCGAAGAUAAAGUGGAUUAGCGGCGGACGGGUGAGUAACACGUGAGUAACCUGCCUUAGACAUUGGGAUAGCCUCGGGAAACCGGGAUUAAUACCAAAUAAAAUCAUAAUGACACAUGUCAUAACGAUCAAAACUCCGGUGGUCUAAGAUGGACUCGCGUCCCAUUAGCUAGUUGGUAGAGUAAAAGCCUACCAAGGCGACGAUGGGUAGCCGGCCUGAGAGGGUGAACGGCCACAUUGGAACUGAGAAACGGUCCAAACUCCUACGGGAGGCAGCAGUGGGGAAUAUUGCACAAUGGAGGGAACUCUGAUGCAGCGACGCCGCGUGAACGAAGAAGGCUUUCGAGUCGUAAAGUUCUUUUAUAUGGGAAGAUAAUGACGGUACCAUAAGAAAAAGCCCCGGCUAACUACGUG
rnacentral:rRNA from 1 species